rnacentral:sRNA from 1 species
ACGAAGAAGAAGUCGACGCGCGCGCCGC